rnacentral:rRNA from 1 species
UACGGAGGGUGCGAGCGUUGUCCGGAAUCAUUGGGCGUAAAGGGCGCGUAGGCGGACAUUUAAGUUAGAGGUGAAAGCCCAGGGCUCAACCCUGGAAUAGCCUUUAAUACUGGAUGUCUUGAGUUCGGGAGAGGUGAGUGGAAUGCCGAGUGUAGAGGUGAAAUUCGUAGAUAUUCGGCGGAACACCAGUGGCGAAGGCGACUCACUGGCCCGAUACUGACGCUGAGGCGCGAAAGCGUGGGGAGCAAACAGG